ACCAGGAGAUGAGCGAAUCUUGGCCUUCUCCGCGAGUCCCCAGUCUACCGGUUGGGAGAGCUCCCUGCAAGUCCCUUCCCCCAGCUCUGAGGCCAGAACGCAGCACAGACCACGUGGUCCCCAGCAAAUCCAACUGAUCUCAAGACUCCCGGGACUCUAGCCCCCCCGUCUGAACCUGCUCUGCUGGGCCCUGGCUCCAACUGCGCUCGGGCAGCCAGCGGCCAGAGCCUCCCUCUUGCUCCAGCUCUGCCUGCAACAGCUUGCCAGUCCCCGGGUGGCUCCGGUGAUCCUGCAUUGUGCCUCCAGCCCCUGCCAGCCGCUGAAAUCUCACAGGCACUCAGCACAGGCCCAGCCUCCAGGAAGACCUCGCGCUGCGCGGCCGAUUUCCUCCAGCCCGCCACGGGGAUCAGGACGAACUGGUAACCCCGGGAGCUGUUUGAUGGGCUCAUUUCUCAAGCCCAAAACCGGGUGGCUCAGACACUUGAUUGAUCUAAGAACAUGAAUAGAGAGAAGGAGGGGGCCUCGUUUAGUACACUCAGAAUUUAUGAUGAACCAGAGGAGUGGAGGAACAUGCUAGAAAGCUCUGGCAUUUCCUCCCAGCAUGAGCACCAAGCACAAUCCCAAGCAGAGGGGGAGUAUGGGAUGCCUCAGCAGCCCCCGGCUCCCCAGACAUCGCAUGGCCCGGUUUAUCAGGAGACGAGCUCUGGGACCCCACAACAGUGGGUCCUCCAGCCUCUGGACAGAUCUGAGCUCCAGGCCAACUGGCUUUCUGAGGCGGAGCCAGAAGCAGCAGCAGAACUGGAUCGCAGCUUCCUGCCAGGACCCGAGUGUGGCCAGCCUUGCCCCUCGCCACCUCCCAGUGAAGAAGUCUGGUCAUUCCUCAGGGCAAUUCCUCCCGUUCCUGAUGAAGUGGUGGUCAGGCAGAGAGCCCCACGGGAGUCCUGGAAGGUUGGCAAUGUCCGCCAUGGAAAGAAGGUCUACGCCAUUGCCAUCAGCAGCUCGACUCACCACGUGUACACGUGUGGGCAUGGCUACAUUAAGGUGUGGGACGAGAGCGCUUUGCAUGCCUGCAACAAGGCCCCACAGGCCCAGCUGGACUUCCAGGACCAUCAGAGCCGUGUCCUCACCUGCAAGCUGCUGCCUGAUGAGCAGAGCCUGAUCACUGGGGGUCUGUCCCGGAACCUGACUCUUUGGGAUCUGGCACCCACGCCUCGCGUCAGGGCACAGCUGGCCUCCACAGGCCCCAUGUGCUAUUCCCUGGCUCUCUCCUCCAAUGCCCAGAUCUGCUUGGCUUGUUUCAAAGGAUUUGUUGAGAUUUGGGACUUGCAGAACCAAAUCUUGAUCAGGAAGCACGAAGUCCCUGAAUAUGGAUCCCGAUGCGUGGACAUCGCAGGCAAUAAGUUCUGGACAGGAGGUGAAGAUGCCAGCCUGUAUUCCUGGGACCUGAGGAGCUACCAGAGGGUGCAGGAGCACCAUUUCCGGCAUGAGAUCCUCAGCAUUACCCAUGACCCCAGUGAAGAGUGGGUGCUAGUAGGCUUGAGAAACAGUGACAUCAUAAUCCUACACACGCACCGGAGGGAGAAGUUGAAGAUUUUCUUUAACAAAUACAUCCACCACCACAACCUCAAGUUUUCUUCCUGUGGGAGCUAUUUUGUGACCACGCUGGAUGAAUCGAUCCAUUGCUUAGCUGCACCUUCUCUACAAAGGUUGUUUCAGGCAGAGGAGUCUACCGAUAUCCUGUGUUGUGAUGUGUCCUCUGACAACCAGUAUCUGGUCACAGGCUCCAAGAACAGUGCCACCGUUUACCAGCUCUUGUAUUGAAGGUUGGCAUGCCGUGAUCCUGCUGGCGAAGACCCAGGGAAGGUCAGCAGGUUCUUGAUCCCCUUCUACUAGCUCAAGGCAAAGACAUGGAGGCCCUUGGGGAUUGCAGAGCCGUGCAGUGGAA